rnacentral:tRNA from 1 species
CCUGGGAUGGCUGAAGGGGUCUUGGACGCGCAGGCCUGAGGCGCCUGUCCCGUAGGGGUUCGUGGGUUCAAAUCCCACCUCCCGCACCA